rnacentral:rRNA from 1 species
AGCUAAUCCUGGUCGGACAUCAGGAGGUUAGUGCAAUGGCAUAAGCUAGCUUGACUGCGAGCGUGACGGCGCGAGCAGGUGCGAAAGCUGGUCAUAGUGUUCCGGUGGUUCUGAAUGGAAGGGCCAUCGCUCUACGGAUAAAAGGUACUCCGGGGAUAACAGGCUGAUACCGCCCAAGAGUUCAUAUCGACGGCGGUGUUUGGCACCUCGAUGUCGGCUCAUCACAUCCAGGGGCUGAAGUAGGUCCCAAGGGUAUGGCUGUUCGCCAUUUAAAGUGGUACGCGAGCUGGGUUUAGAACGUCGUGAGACAGUUCGGUCCCU